AGUGCGUCAUAGGUGUAUUAAUAUUUCGUGACGAUUCUAAUCGCUCCGUAGCAGUCAAUAUAUUUCAUUCUCUCUAACCGACAUACGACCGAGUGUCGCUUAUCAUCUCGUCGGAAGCACGAUCCAUUGUGUUCCAGUUCGUCAUCGAAAUCAACCACCGACGCGCACGUGGCCGUAAAAAUUCGCGCGUCUCGUUAAAUCGGGUUUAAUUAUCAGAAUCGAAUUGGCUGCGUUCGAGCGACGAAAUACAAGGCAACGUUUCAUCGUCAUUAGCGUCGAUCACCGAACCGAUCCACGACCGCAUCUACAGCAUUUUCAACCGCUAAUUAUCGCAUCGCUCAUUGUCUUCGUCCAGCUUGGUCUAAUCGAUGCAGGAUUCUAUUGAAAGCGCGGGUAUGAUAAAACCGUGUUUCGUUCCUCGAGAGCAAACUAUUUUAUGAUCGUUCCACGAUUGCCGGGAAGAGGAACGGAUGGAACGAUCGAGCGAGGCGCACGGAACUGUUCAAUCCAAGGCACUUCGGUAGCUGCUGAACCUGCCCGGUUAUACCUUAAAGUUUCGGAACACGACCGUAGGAUUAGGUUCUCGAAACAUAACAGUAUCUCAGGAUAACGUAUGAGAAGGAAGGAAGUAGGUCAUUUUCAUGAACACAAAUAUGUAUAGAGAUUUUCCAAAAGGAAGUGGCUGAGUAUAGAACAUAAUCAUAAACGUAGGAUGUUUAUGAUUAGCGGUGAAUUAAUUAUUAACUAAUAUUAAUUUUCGUCGCGUCCCCUUUAUGUAACGCCAUUUUCCCUGGAGAAGCCUGCUCCACACUGCACUUGCAGUCGGUCCCAAAACGCGAGUGCACAGAUGCAUGAAAAGUGCAUCAGCUCGUGAAUCACGUUCGGAAUAGUCUUUGUCGUUCGCGAAAAUAGAACGUACGGGCGUAAGAAAAAAAAAAAGAAAUAAACGGACCUACAUUCUUGAAAAAUGCUUGCGACGACGAAGGGUGCGUAUAAGGUAGAAGAUUUUCAUAACGCAGAGAGUUUCGGUAGAGUGAUGCAAACAAUUCGCAUUGAAAACGAGCCUCAAAAAGCACGAGCGCAAACAAACAGACAAACACGCGUACUUUUGCUUCGACAUUCGUGCAGCGGCAGCUCGAAAGGCAGCCUUUUAAUUAAGCCUGCCACUCGUCGAAUUAACCGCGUCAGAAAUUGUCGUCGGCCAACUCUGGCUGGUAAGCCGGAAGUUUAACAGGGGGAAAAAACGCGUCAUCCUAUUAAUCAGGUGUGGAUAAAGGGCGGAGAAAUAAAAUUGAACUCGAGGAUCGCGUGAACAUUACAAAACACGAUCGUAUUUAACCCGAGCAAAGUAAACAGAGGAUAGAAACGUCGAUCAGAUAAUCAUGGAAAUUUAAUACUGUAAAGAAGAGAAAGAAAAAAAAACUCUUUCCAAGAGAGAGAAGAGCUUCUAUCUUCUAAGAAACAGGAAGAAAUCUUGCCGAGGUAAAUGCAACGUAAUCUUCUUAAGGCAAUUAUUUUCAAUCUACCAGCAUGGAAAAGGAACGUUACGGUUAACAGUACAAUAUUAACCCUAGGAAGACCAAGAAGCAAACAAAUGUUAAAAGAUAAAAAUACUUUUGACAAGUUAGAAUUCGACCGAAAGGGGUUAAUUCAAGAUGGAUGAUCAACAAGGUGUACAAGGGGGUCGUGAACAUGCAACGUGGCUCUGUUUGUUCGAUGGUGCAACAAGUCGGGUUUAACAGCUGUGUCUAGUGCACAUCUACGUGCAACAGCCAUGGUGUUCCACGCUUUUUGGCCACCGUCCAAUUUGGCGUUCGCCGAACAUGCCCGUUGAUACUGGUGAAUGAGGGAAAAUACCGACACGCCAGAUAAGAAGCGCGACCGACAGAAUAAUCGAGCAUUUAGAUCGAUGUCAAGUGGGCCUGAACGCGCGGUAUUCGACGCUGUUCGAAUAGACCAAGCGAAAAUCUAGACACGAGUGCCCUACACUGCUAGGAAUGACGCAACGAGGAAUUCUAAUAACGACUCUUAAAGUAUAAAAUGAUCAUCUCUUUUUCUGCUCGAUUUUUAUUCGAUGUUUUAUUUGCUGUGUUUCUAGGGGAAAAAAAGGUUGCUUUUAGUACAACAUAA